rnacentral:rRNA from 1 species
CACGUAGGGCGCAAGCGUUGUCCGGAAUUAUUGGGCGUAAAGAGCUCGUAGGCGGUCUGUUACGUCUGCUGUGAAAACCCGGGGCUUAACCCUGGGCUUGCAGUGGAUACGGGCAGACUAGAGGCAGGUAGGGGAGAAUGGAAUUCCCGGUGUAGCGGUGAAAUGCGUAGAUAUCAGGAGGAACACCGGUGGCGAAGGCGGCUCUCUGGACGGUGACUGACGCUGAGACGCGAAAGCGUGGGGAGCAAACAGG